rnacentral:lncRNA from 1 species
AGGCGGGAGGGGGAGGAGCAGGCGCGCGGCCUCGCCGCUACCUGGCUCCUUCCAACGCGGCCGCUCGCGGGGUGCGCCGGGGGCUCCGAUGGGAACCGAGCGCGGGGGACCCGGGACCACACAGGGAAAAAAAAAAGGAGAGAAAGAGAGAGAAGCAAGCAGAUGCGGCGCAAAGCGGGGCGCAGGACGGCAAGGGGCCGCUUCCAGCCUGGAGGGACUUUUCUUGGAAAGGUGGAGACCCCCGGAGGAGUGCGACUCCCCAAGGGCCCGAUGCUCUGGAGCGAAAAGGCGUUCGCUGGUCAGCCUUGCUGCCAGAAAAUUUAGCAAACUUCGGGCAGAUCCUCCCACCUGGGGCGAGAGCUCUGGCUGGCCUGGGGCUCAGCCCCGGGACCUUUCCUUUCACACUUUAAGAGCCUCAAGGCACUUUUUCCGUGGAAACCAGGCCAGCGCGAGGACAACUUCGCUGAGCUUGGUGCUAGGCUAGAGUCGGAGGCUUUUGAGUUUCCUUUUAAAACAGUAUUAAUGUAAUAAGGAACGCAAUAAAAAGAACAAAGGACAAAUUGGUUCAAUUGUUUUAGUUCUGUGUAAUGUUUUAAAACAACCCGGCUUCAGUCUAUGGCUUGUUAUUACUUCAAGAUGUUUUAAAGGCCCUGUAAGUUCACCAUUCUCACUUCACUUUGAUGCUUCAGCCAGGCAUGGUACUACUUAAAACGUAGUGAUACAUAGAUUCCCCACUCCUUGUUGUAACUACAAGGUACAAUUAAACUAGAACCCAGUAACCUCCAACACUGAAAUUGUCUGUCCUGAGGAGACCCAGAACCCACUAGUUCACAUUCCAGUAUAAUGUCCUGUUUAAAAUGUAAGUGGUGAGGGUCUUGGGUGGUUUAUUUCCAAAUAAAAUAGUCAAAGAAAAA